ensembl:snoRNA
UUUCCGUGAUGAUAACUUUGACCAGUUCUGCUACUGAAUGAAAGUGAUGACAUUAGUGUCUCUGAGAAA